rnacentral:rRNA from 1 species
CCAGACUCCUACGGGAGGCAGCAGUGGGGGAUAUUGCACAAUGGGGGGAACCCUGAUGCAGCGACGCCGCGUGGGUGAAGGAGCGUUUCGGCGCGUAAAGCCCUAUCGGCAGGGAAGAAGGAGGACGGUACCUGACUAAGAAGCCCCGGCUAACUACGUGCCAGCAGCCGCGGUAAUACGUAGGGGGCAAGCGUUAUCCGGAUUUACUGGGUGUAAAGGGGGCGUAGGCGGCCUGCCAAGUCUGAUGUGAAAUACCGGGGCUCAACCCCGGGGCUGCAUUGGAAACUGGCAGGCUGGAGUGCCGGAGAGGCAGGCGGAAUUCCUAGUGUAGCGGUGAAAUGCGUAGAUAUUAGGAGGAACACCAGUGGCGAAGGCGACUUUCUGGACGAUAACUGACGUUGAGGCACGAAAGUGUGGGGAGCAAACAGGAUUAGAUACCCUGGUAU